rnacentral:other from 1 species
GGGGGUCGAGCGCUGAGGAUGGUGUGCAAGCCCAGCUCGUACUGGGAAGCCUAAAGUCCUCCCAAGACCUCCGCC